rnacentral:rRNA from 1 species
AUUGAACGCUGGCGGCAGGCCUAACACAUGCAAGUCGAGCGGAUGAAGGGAGCUUGCUCCUGGAUUCAGCGGCGGACGGGUGAGUAAUGCCUAGGAAUCUGCCUGGUAGUGGGGGAUAACGUCCGGAAACGGGCGCUAAUACCGCAUACGUCCUGAGGGAGAAAGUGGGGGAUCUUCGGACCUCACGCUAUCAGAUGAGCCUAGGUCGGAUUAGCUAGUUGGUGGGGUAAAGGCCUACCAAGGCGACGAUCCGUAACUGGUCUGAGAGGAUGAUCAGUCACACUGGAACUGAGACACGGUCCAGAGUCCUACGGGAGGCAGCAGUGGGGAAUAUUGGACGAUGGGCGAAAGCCUGAUCCAGCCAUGCCGCGUGUGUGAAGAAGGUCUUCGGAUUGUAAAGCACUUUAAGUUGGGAGGAAGGGCAGUAAGUUAAUACCUUGCUGUUUUGACGUUACCAACAGAAUAAGCACCGGCUAACUUCGUG